UUCCUCCUUAGCUCAGUCGGUAGAGCGACGGACUGUUAAUCCGCAGGUCGCUGGUUCGAGCCCAGCAGGAGNAGG
rnacentral:tRNA from 1 species